AUAUAUAUAUAUGUAGUCCCUCUUAAUAUGGAAAAUCUGCAGUUGUGGAAUGACAUGGAUAGAAGUGCUUUUAAUAUUUUAAUGUGCCUCUCAAAAAUCCUAACUCAGGCAUUCUAAACAUUGAGCCAUUCUCUCAUCUAUGCAUCUUGACUUGUGUGAUUCAGUUUCUUGGAUCAAAUGCUGAAAAUGGUGAGUGCAGCUCGAGUUAUUUGCUUAGUACAACAUUGUUUUCUAUUUUGCAAAAAUAUUAUUUUUUAUAUAAUUUCUGUGUUUCAGGAAAAGAAAAUCUUGAAGAAUUUGAAGUUAUGCCUCAACUAGUUCAUGCUCAAAUUUCUGAAGGCUGCUCAAUUUGACAUAAAAGUAAGGUAUCCAGUAAAAUUUGUGAAAUAAUUUAGGCUCUAUUGGAGAUAUGGCUUGAUUUAAGUGGUCAGUUUUUAGGUAUUGCAGAACUUAAUAUUGAUCAUAGUUGAUGUGGCUCUCUUGCUGCUUGAGCUUUUGAUUGCAUUCUAUAGAAUGGAUGAGUAAUACUAAAAGUUUAUUGAUUGAGAAGAUGUAUAUUAAGAUGGAGAGAUUGAAAAGUUAAAACUUUCAGAGAUGAUAUGCUGAGAAGGGGUUAUUCAGCACGAACGACUCGGAUUUAGGGGAAGGAAGAUCCAAGUUGAGAGAUGAAGAGUAAGACCAACUAGAAGAUGAUUUGAGAGCUAAACUCCCUGCUAUCAUUCAAGGCCUAAAUCAAAGUAGUCAAAUACCGAGUUCUAAUUAUUGUAAAGUUAGUUGACUAAGUUUUAUUUAUUAGAAAGACAUGAUUUUAUGAUAUUUCAUAAAUAUGCUUCUGCCUCAAUUUUGCAAUUCGUAUUUGACUUUUUAGAAAUAAGCAUGAUUAUGCUUAAAAUAGUGUGAUCACGUCUUUACUUAAAGAAGCUUC